CCAUUAAAUAUUCAAGUUCAAGUAAACAAAUAUCGUUUACACAUAAAAACAAGUGACCAGUUCUAUUGUAUUUUUGUCGCAAACAGAAUAUCGGUAAAUACUCAGAUUAUGGUGGAUAAAAAUAAUUAUGUCGGGAACAAUUAUAGGACAGAAAAAAAAAGGAAAUACAGGACGGAAUCAGGAAAGAAGGAACACAAAAUAGGUUAACCAAGGAUAUCUACGUCGAGGGUGGCUUCUGGACUGACCUUUCAGUUGAUUGGUGGCAGGCAGCGUACCGCUUCCACCGGAUUGUCUGAAGCUCGGCGUAGAAAACGAUGGUGACAGGAACAAGAACGAUACCGCAACGACUGUGUCGACAAAGUUGGAAUCCGGAACUCAGGAUAACUGUCCAGGCAUCAAGCUGAUGGUGGCUGUGAUAUGUCCGCACCAGGGGGUGGCGGAAUGACUUUCCACGAUUUACGUUACCGUCUGAUAUAUUAUGUAUAGAUGUUACACCAAAAAGAACAAGAAAAGGAAAAGGCUCUAACGGCGUUAAACGAGCCAAAGUAAUGAUCGGUGUCACAUGUGCUUCCAGAUCCGCUGGGCGAAAACCCAAAAUAUUCCCAAGGGAAAUAAUAGAACACCCUUCUGGUAAUAAAUUUAGGUAAUGGAAUCUUCAAAGUAAGUAGAUCCUUCCAAAUUUAAAGGCUUAAAAUUUUCUCACAAAAUGAAGAUGUAGCAAAUGCACACGACAACCUCUUGUUCAAAAGUGACCGGAAAAGAAAAGAUAAGAAGCGAAGGAAUUUUAUCAAAACCAAGGACGACUGGACAGAAGAGUGGACAACACGAGCAUAGGCAACACACAAUACUUACGGAAGAAACAUAAGGAACGAAACAAACUGUUAUACGGCCCCCCCUUCCAAACGGAGGAACAAUGAAAGUGACGACAAGUGAAGCUUGGGCAACAAAUUAAAAAAAAAACCUUAACGGACAUCUCCCCACAGCAUUGAAUCCAUCCGUUA